rnacentral:rRNA from 1 species
UACGAAGGGGGCGAGCGUUGUUCGGAUUUACUGGGCGUAAAGGGCGCGCAGGCGGCUCAUUUUGUCAGGCGUGAAAGCCCCGGGCUUAACCUGGGAACUGCGUUUGAUACGGAUGGGCUAGAGUUCGGGAGAGGAGAGUGGAAUUCCCAGUGUAGAGGUGGAAUUCGUAGAUAUUGGGAAGAACACCGGUGGCGAAGGCGGCCCUCUGGACCGAGACUGACGCUGAGGCGCGAAAGCUAGGGGAGCGAACGGG